rnacentral:lncRNA from 1 species
UGGUGGAGUAAAUGAUAAUAAUGAUAAAAAUGUAUAAGUGAUGAUAAAACUACUCAUUGCUCCUCAUAUUGCUAUCUCUCCUCUUCUUUGAUCUUUGCUUUGGGAGAACAUGGGCUAUCUUUUUCUCUCUCUCUUUUUUUUUCAGGUGGGUAGUAGAUACCCCUAAUUCUACUGUCGGACACUUGUCUAUUUUUUCUGCUCAAGUGGGCAUCUUUGUACCCCUAAUUCUACUGCGGACACUUGUCCAUUUUUACCUCUCAUCUCACUUUUUUCUUUCUUUUUCGAGGUUCCGGGCACUUGCCCCUUUUUAUUUCCUCAUAUAUUUUUGCAUAACCCAUGCAUCUUCUGCAUUGAAUCUUAUUGGAGAGAGAGAAUAACAACACUUGGGACAGUGAGUGAUAAUAUUUUUAGCAAUUUUAAUGAUUGGUGGUGAAUGGUGUAGUGGAUGUGUGCAAGUGAAUACCUUAAUUUAACCACAUGAAAAGCUCCUAAGGGUCUACACAGCUCGAUCAAAACUCAAUAUAGUAAAAGAUGUUAUAGCAAGUAUGGCUGUGGUAGGAAGUUUGUUAUGCUAGGAACUCAUCAUGUGAUUUGUAAGUUUUCAAAAUAAAUCUCCAGAACUCAGUGUUGUAAGAUCA